UAGACUAUACUUUCAGGGAUCAUUUCUACAGUUUGUUACUAGAGAAGUUUCUCUGAAUGUAUAGAGCACCGAAGACAAGC
rfam:Homo sapiens chromosome 3, GRCh38 reference primary assembly.